ACGGCUCAGUAACACGUGGACAACCUACCCUGAAGAGGGGGAUAACCCCGGGAAACUGGGGAUAAUACCCCAUAGACUAUGGAUGCUGGAAUGCUCUGUAGUUCAAAGGUCCGCCGCUUCAGGAUGGGUCUGCGGCCGAUUAGGUUGUUGUUGGGGUAACGGCCCAACAAGCCUGUAAUCGGUACGGGUUGUGGGAGCAAGAGCCCGGAGAUGGAUUCUGAGACACGAAUCCAGGCCCUACGGGGCGCAGCAGGCGCGAAAACUUUGCAAUGCGAGAAAUCGUGACAAGGGAACUCCGAGUGCCUGUAAAAUCAGGCUGUCCGCCAGUGUAAACAACUGGUGAAGAAAGGGCCGGGCAAGACCGGUGCCAGCCGCCGCGGUAAUACCGGCGGCUCGAGUGGUGGCCACUAUUACUGGGCUUAAAGCGUUCGUAGCUGGCUUGUUAAGUCUCUGGGGAAAUCUUCCGGCUUAACCGGAAGGCGUCUCAGGGAUACUGGCAGGCUAGGGACCGGAAGAGGUGAGAGGUACUCCAGGGGUAGGAGUGAAAUCCUGUAACCCUUGGGGGACCACCUGUGGCGAAGGCGUCUCACCAGGACGGCUCCGACAGUGAGGAACGAAAGCUGGGGGAGCAAACCGGAUUAGAUACCCGGGUAGUCCCAGCUGUAAACGAUGCGCGUUAGGUGUAUCGGUGACCACGAGUCACCGAGGUGCCGAAGAGAAAUCGUGAAACGCGCCGCCUGGGAAGUACGGUCGCAAGGCUGAAACUUAAAGGAAUUGGCGGGGGAGCAC
rnacentral:rRNA from 1 species